rnacentral:rRNA from 1 species
AUUGAACGCUCGCGGGAUGCUUUACACAUGCAAGUCGAACGAGUGGCGGACGGGUGAGCAAUAUAUCGGAACGUGCCCAGUAGCGGGGGUUAACUACUGGAAACGGUAGCUAAUACCGCAUACUAUCAGAUGUGCCCAGAAGGGAUUAGCUAGUAGGUGGGGUAAUGGCUAACAUAGGCGACGAACCCUAGCUGGUCUGAGAGGAUGACCAGCCACACUGGAAGUGUGACACGGUCCAGACUCCUGCGGGAGGCAGCAGUGGGGAAUAUUGCGCAAUGGGCGCAAGCCUGCUGCAGCCAUGCCGCGUGUGUGAAGAAGGCCUUCGUAUUGUAAAGCACUUUCAGCAAGGAGGCGUUACCCGCAGAAGGAGCACCGGCUAACUCCGUGCCAGCAGCCGCGGUAAUAC